AUCUUCGAAAGGAUGCCAACUCAUAUGCAGAAUUUUUUUGUUGAAAUCGAUUUGAUCUGCGUCUGUUUCUUUCUUCAUCCUUCCACCAGCACCUGCAGGACUACCAGCCCUCGAUCCCCCCUUUUUAUUGGUUGACGCGGAAGAAUUUAUGGGAGUCGGUACGCCAACUUUCUUUGCCUUGAAUGCAGUCUUGUCGGCCUGGAGGACAACUUCGGUCUCCUUGUUAGGGUCGGAGGGAUAGAUCAUAAAAUUAUUGUUGUAGCUGCCAGUCAUGACAUUCUCCGCAUCGCCGGAAAAUACCACCUCGAAUUUAUCAAAGAUGCUGUCGUUUUCAUACGUAUCGCAAAGCCGGGGGCGGAGGUGCUCGUGGAUCGGGAUCGUUUUUAUAGGCUGUCUUUCCAUGUUGACAUCCCAUAUUUUGACGGUUAGGUAGUCGCGAGAUAGUAUAUAGCGCCCGUCAUUCGAGAAACGGACGUCAGAAAUGGAGGAAAUGAUUUCGGAAAAGAAAGAACGGGAAGAAGCAUCCUCUUCUUGCUCGAAUUGUUUGUGAUGCUGAUCGCAGAGAGCACUCUGCCUCAUAUCUGCGAGUUUGAUAGUUCCCUUGGAACUAGCAUACAUGAACCAGUUACAACUAGUAGGAUGGAAUUCCGCAGCUGUAAUAACUUCCGUCAGUUCUUCCAUAUUUGCGGGCUUAAUAUCAACAAUAUUGAAGCUCUGAUCCUGGAUAUUUAAGUUCCAUAGGUUGAUUCGAAGAUCGUCACUGCUGAUGAAUGUUUCGCCAUCACUGUUGACCGAUAUGCUAUUGAUGUGGUAAGCAUGGGCAUUAGCAUAGAUACGUCGAGGAACUGCAACAACUACAGUGUCGUGAUGGGUGAGGCGAGGCAGUUUGAGCGAGGAUGCGUCACGGAAGGAAAUUUGCGGGGCGCGUGGCAUGCCUCCACCAGCUACAGCGCCUGCCGGUGUGAGAUCAUGAGAGAGGUUAUUUUCCGCAACGACCUUUAACGACUUGUCAAACACUUUCCAAAGCUUUAUGGUCUUAUCGUUGGUCGAAAGGAGAUAGUGGGAUGCAUUUUGUCGUCUGCACCAUUUUAUUUUGUUGAUUUUCUCUUCAAUCUCUAAGGACUUUAGGUAAUCAAAUUCCGGCUCGUGAGAUUGGAAUUCGGUAUGGAAUUUAUACUCGCAUGUUUUUUUCGUCUCGUUUCUCUCAAAUAAUACUACUCGUCCUCCUUUGUCACCCGUUGCAAGGUAGUUUCCCGUGUGAUCGAACUCAACCGUUGAUAUGAUAUCAGCAUCUGUAAUGUCCUCCACAUCCCCUUUAUCGCCGAAGCAUUGUGUGAACUUCCAGGUAGGUGAACCUGGAUCUCCGUCUACCAUUUUUUAAGAACGAUCAACCCUCUGUUAUGGGUUGUGCACAGACAAAACAAAAUAUCUAGCAGGUGGUGAGGCCUGGGUGAUUGCUUUUCUGCUUUCUUAUCUGCGGGGUUAUGUGUGUUGAGAUAGUCAAUAUCACAGGGCUUGCACGAGCAGGGCCGGGAGGGUUGGAGAGCUGGCGCGAAAUGGCGGGGGAAAAUGGACACACGGGACGUAAACACGCGGACGAUUACAAUUAGGUUAUCGAAAGGAGAUGGAAGAAUAGGAGUUGAAGAAGAGGAAGAGAAGAUAACGGUCUAUAGAAGAGAACGGAGACUAAAACGAAGCAAGGACAAUGGUCAAGAGAAAUGGGUGGCCUGGGAGAGGUAACUAACGUAAGACGACCGAGCCAAGAGAGAAGAGUGGGAGAAGAGGGGAGGAACAGGAAGCUAGAGCAAUCGCAGACCUAGAGAAAAUGAAAAAGAAAUGGUCUAUGGCCGUUGGAACAGGAUAGGGAGACGAAAGCAGAGUUGAACGGAGAGGAGAAGCA
rnacentral:sRNA from 2 species